UGUGUGGUGUAGCGGUGAAAUNCUUAGAUAUCACACAGAACACCGAUUGCGAAGNCAGCACACUAAGUUAUUAUUGACGCUGAGGCACGAAAGUGUGGGGAUCAANCAGGAUUAGAUACCNUGNUAGUCCACACUGUAAACGAUGAUAACUCGCUGUCGGCGAUACACAGUCGGUGNCCAAGCGAAAGCAUUNANUUAUCCACCUGGGGAGUACGNCCGCAAGGUUGANACUCAAAGGAAUUGACGGGGGCCCNCACAAGCGGAGGAACAUGUGGUUUAAUUCGAUGAUACGCGAGGAACCUUACCNGGGCUCGAACGGUGCAUGAAUAUACGAGAGAUUGUAUAGUCCUUCGGGACAUGUAUCGAGGUGCUGCAUGGUUGUCGUCAGCUCGUGCCGUGAGGUGUCGNNUUAAGUGCCAUAACGAGCGCAACCCUUGUCAUUAGUUGCCAUCAGGUCAAGCUGGGGACAUUAAUGAGACUGCCACCGUAAGGUGUGAGGAAGGGGGGGAUGACNUCAAAUCAGCACGGCCCUUAUGUCCGGGGCGACNCACGUGUUACAAUNGGAGGUACAGAGGGCAGCUAUCCGGUGNCGGAAUGNUAAUCUCCAAAACCUUUCUCAGUUCGGAUUGGAGUCUGCAACUCGANUNCAUGAAGGUGGAUUCNCUAGUAAUCGCGCAUCAGCCAUGGCGCGGUGAAUACGUUCCCGGGCCUUGUACACACCGCCCGUCAAGCCAUGGAACGCUUGGGGUGCCUGAAGUUCGUGACCGCAAGGAGCGACCUAAGGCAAAAACAGGUAACUGGGGCUAAGUCGUAANCAAGGUAACCGAAAGGGCAAUUCGUAACUCG
rnacentral:rRNA from 1 species